rnacentral:lncRNA from 1 species
AGUUUGUCUUCCAGAGCUCAUCAACCUGAAGGCAAUGAAUCUCACAGAACUGAACUCCCCAGACAUCACUGCUCAAUCUAGACUCUACUGGAUCAAUUGACAGAAAUCAAAUAAAACUGCUCAGCAGACCAGAGAUUGAGACUUAAGAAACUACAAAGAAAAAAGCAAACUAUGCCUAAAGCAAGCAAAGGAUAGGAAAUAAUGGCCAAUAAUUAAAAAAAAAAAAAAAAAAAGGGAAAUAAAGGGCUGAGGUUGUAGCUCAGUGGUAGAGCACUCACCUAGAAUGCUUGAGGCACUGGGUUCAAUCCUUAGCACCACAUAAAAAUAAAUAAAUAAAAUGUAUCCUGUCCAUCUACAACUAUUUACUUUUUUAAAAAAAUGAGUAGUAUUUUUUUAAAGACAUGAAACACUUUAAUGAAACAGAACACAGAAAAACAAUGAAGGAAGGUCAAUGAACCCAAAAAUGGUUCUUUGAAAAGAUCAAUAAAAUAGAUGAACCUCUAGCCAGAUUGAUCAAGAAAAAAAUAAAGAAGACACACUUGCUCUCAGGAAUAAGAGGGGUGUUACUGCAGAUUCUACAGAUCCUCAGAGGAAGACAGGAAGGGCUGGGCCAGCUCUGGUGGGCACUUGCCUCCUGUGUCAAGGCCCUGGUUCCAUCCCCAACACUGCAAAAAAUCAAUUUAAAGGAUAAUAAGGGAGUAUCAUGAGCAGCUUUACACCGAUAAAUUCUACAGUGCAUAAGAAAUGGUUAGUUUCUAGUAUGACACAAACUGCCAAAGCUCACUCAAGAAGAAAUAGAACCCAAUAGCCCUGUACCUUUAAAGGCAUUGGCUUGUAGUUUAAAACUUUUUCUCACAAAUAAAGCUCCAGGCCAAAACGGCUUCACUGGCAAGUUGUACCAGACAUGUAAGAGCAAAACAAACCAACUGUACAAAGAUUCUUCCUGAAUAGGAGGCAACACCCCCAAUUCAAUCCAUGAGGCCAGGAUUAUUCUGAUAUAAAAUAGAUAGGAAGUCAGUAAAGAAAACUGUGGGGCUUCUCACGCUGGCCCCGCGGAGCCCCUGCCGGCCUGGCUGCCCUCCCCGCCCGAUGGGCGCGUGGCUGGCUGCCUGAGCAGGCGGGGAGCGGGGCUCAGGGCCAGCAGGCAGGCGACCACGACCCCAGCGGACUUCUGCGCUGCCCCUGACUGCCCAGGAUGAGCACGCAGUCCGACCUGGCCUCCUUGAGGUUCCUGCGGGAUCCAUCCAGAUGCCAGAAGUGGGUGGAGAAUUGUGGGAGAGCUGACUUAGAAGAUAAAACACCUGAUCAACUAAAUAAACAUUAUCGAUUAUGUGCCAGACCUCUAUGAUCUGUAGAACUCGUAGGACAGUUCUUCAAGUUAAUGCAAUACCAAUAAUAUCUGAUCUUACCAGUCAUUUGACCAAUCUGUGUAGACACAGAAAACAAAUAAAAAAAUUUGAGUGAAGAUGAAAUGAAGACACUGAAACAGAAAAAAAAUUGAAUAAACUUCUGAACAGGAACAAAAACACAAAGAAACAAACAUUAGCAAUGCUCAGAACCCGAGUGCAAAAGAAGAGGGUGAUGAACAGAAUGAAGAUAUUUUGCCUUUAAUCCUUGAAGAGAAGGAAAACAAAGAAUACUUAAAGUCUUUAUUUGAAAUUUUGAUUCUUAUGGGAAACCAAAAUAUACCUCUGGAUGGGCAAGAGGCUGAUGAAAUCCCAGAAGUUCUCCUCACACCUGACAACUUUCAGGCCCUGUUGGAGUGCAGGCUAAAUUCUGGUGAAGAGGUCCUGAGAAAACUUUUGAGACCACAGCAGAUAACACAUUGUUCUGUUCAAAAACACUGUAGAAGCCAUGAUGGAGAUCUGUGAGAGCUGCAUUCGAGAAGAAACCCUCAGGGAAGCGAGAGACUCACACUUCUUUUCCAUUAUCACUGACCAUGUGGUGGACAUAGCAGGGGAAGAGCACCUUCAUGGUGUUGGUGAAGUUUGUGGAUGAAUCUAACCUGAGAGAGGAAUUAGUGGGCUUCCUGCCUUAUGAAGCUGAUGCAGAAAUUUUGGCUGUGAAGUUUCACACUACUGUACCUGAAAAGUAGGGACUAAAUAUGGAGUAUUGCUGUGGCCAGGCUUACAUUGUGUCUAGAGGAUUCUCUUCCAAAAUGAGUUGUUGCUUCUAGAAUUUUAGAGAAAUAUCCCCCAAGCUCUCUACACUGCCCUUCCUGUGCGUUUAACAUGUGGUUGGCAAAAUCAGAGCCUGUGAUGAGGGUGUCUGUUGAGGAACAAUUGAAGAAGUUCGUUCUUUUUUCCAUCCAUCACCACAACUGCUAUUAGAACUUGACAGUGUAAUUUCUGUUCUUUUUCGGAACAGUGAAGAAAGGCGUAAAGAAAUGAAGGAAAUUUGCCAUUCUCAGUGGACAGGCAGGCAUGAUGCUUUUGAAAUUUUGGUGGAUCUCCUUUAAGUACUUGUUUUAUGUUUAAAUGGUAUAAACAGUGACACAAAUAUUAGAUGGAAUACUUGUAUAACUGAUUGAACAUUUGUACUCUGUAGUGCAGCAACAGAUUUUGAUUUCAUUGUUUUCAUUGUUGUUCUUAAAAACGUCUUGUCUUUUACAAGAGCCUUUGGAAAAAAUCUCCAGGGACAAACUUCUGAUGUCUUCUUUGCCACCAGUAGCUUAACUGCAGUACUGCAGUCACUCAAUGAAGUAAUGGAAAAUAUUGAAGUUUAUCAUGAGUUUUGGUUUGAGGAAGCAACAAAUUUGGAAAUUUCCUAGGUCUCAGCAAGGUAACCUAGAAUCUCAACUAACCUCUGAAAGUUACUAUAAAGAAAACCUAAGUGUUCCAACAGUGGAACACAUCAUUCAGGAACUUAAAGAUAUAUUUUCAGAACAGCAUCUCAAAGCUCUUAAAUGCUUAUCUCUGAUACCCUCAAUCUUGGGACAGCUCAAAUUCAAUACAUCAGAGGAGCACCAUGCUGACAUGUACAGAAGUGACUUGCCUAAUCCAGACCUGCUUUCAGCUGAGCUUCACUGUUGGAGAAUCAAAUGGAAACAUGGAGGCAAAGAUAUAGAGCUUCCAUCACCAUUUAUGAAGCCCUCCAUCUGAGACAUCAAUUUUUUUCUAAUAUAUAUGCCUUGCUAAAGGUCGUGUGUAUUCUUCCUGUAAUAAGUGUUGAGAAUGAACACUAUGAAAAUGGACAAAAGUGUCUCAAAGCAUCCUUGAGGAAC